AUUGAACGCUGGCGGCAUGCUUUACACAUGCAAGUCGAACGGUAACAGGCCGCCAGGUGCUGACGAGUGGCGAACGGGUGAGUAAUGCAUCGGAACGUGCCCAGUCGUGGGGGAUAACUACUCGAAAGAGUAGCUAAUACCGCAUACGAUCUAUGGAUGAAAGCGGGGGACCGUAAGGCCUCGCGCGAUUGGAGCGGCCGAUGUCAGAUUAGGUAGUUGGUGGGGUAAAGGCUCACCAAGCCAACGAUCUGUAGCUGGUCUGAGAGGACGACCCGCCACACUGGGACUGAGACACGGCCCAGACUCCUACGGGAGGCAGCAGUGGGGAAUUUUGGACAAUGGGCGCAAGCCUGAUCCAGCAAUGCCGCGUGCAGGAAGAAGGCCUUCGGGUUGUAAACUGCUUUUGUACGGAACGAAACGGCUCUGGUUAAUACCCGGGGCUAAUGACGGUACCGUAAGAAUAAGCACCGGCUAACUACGUG
rnacentral:rRNA from 1 species